rnacentral:rRNA from 1 species
AUUGAACGCUGGCGGCAGGCCUAACACAUGCAAGUCGAGCGGAUGAAGGGAGCUUGCUCCUGGAUUCAGCGGCGGACGGGUGAGUAAUGCCUAGGAAUCUGCCUGGUAGUGGGGGAUAACGUCCGGAAACGGGCGCUAAUACCGCAUACGUCCUGAGGGAGAAAGUGGGGGAUCUUCGGACCUCACGCUAUCAGAUGAGCCUAGGUCGGAUUAGCUAGUUGGUGGGGUAAAGGCCUACUAAGGCGACGAUCCGUAACUGGUCUGAGAGGAUGAUCAGUCACACUGGAACUGAGACACGGUCCAGACUCCUGCGAGAGGCAGCAGUGGGGAAUAUUGGACAAUGGGCGAAAGCCUGAUCCAGCCAUGCCGCGUGUGUGAAGAAGGUCUUCGGAUUGUAAAGCACUUUAAGUGGGGAGGAAGGGCAGUAAGUUAAUACCUUGCUGUUUUGACGUUACCAACAGAAUAAGCACCGGCUAACUUCGUG